rnacentral:sRNA from 1 species
AGCCUAAACCCGUCAAGAUUCUCUUGCCGGGCAUGGCGAAGGCAGCCGCUACAGUGCAAAAAACUCCUCGUCCGGAGUCACUGUAGCGGUCGUACCCUCGAAAGAGGGCACGGGUCAGGCUGAAAGGUCUGAUC